AGGGGUGCGAGCGUUAAUCGGAAUUACUGGGCGUAAAGCGCAUGCAGGUGGUUUGUUAAGUCAGAUGUGAAAGCCCGGGGCUCAACCUCGGAAUAGCAUUUGAAACUAGGCAGACUAGAGUACUGUAGAGGGGGGUAGGAAUUUCAGGUGUAGCGGUGAAAUGCGUAGAGAUCUGAAGGAAUACCGGUGGCGAAGGCGGCCCCCUGGACAGAUACUGACACUCAGAUGCGAAAGCGUGGGGAGCCAAACAGGAUUAGAUACCCCUGGUAG
rnacentral:rRNA from 1 species